AUUCAUAUAUCCAUGAGCCCUGCCUGUGGAAAAAAGUUUCAUGAAAAUCUGAGACCCUUCGGCCCAUACCCGUACGGUAAUAAAAAAAAAAUCCCCAUCAUCGUCGGCGGAAUGGUGUUCUUUUAUGCCAUCAACUGCGGCAAACGGAAGCACCACAGAAACUACAA
rfam:Aedes aegypti strain Liverpool supercont1.369 genomic scaffold, whole genome shotgun sequence.